AGGACGAACGCUGGCGGCGUGCCUAACACAUGCAAGUCGAACGGUAACAUUUGACUGAUCCUCGGGAUGAAGAAUUUAGUUAGUGGCGGACGGGUGAGUAACGCGUGAGUAACCUGCCUCUGAGAGGGGAAUAACGUUCUGAAAAGAACGCUAAUACCGCAUAACACAUAUUUGCCGCAUGACAGAUAUGUCAAAGAUUUUAUCGCUCGGAGAUGGACUCGCGUCCGAUUAGUUAGUUGGUGAGGUAACGGCUCACCCAAGGCCGCGAUCGGUAGCCGGACUGAGAGGUUGAACGGCCACAUUGGGACUGAGUACACGGCCCAGACUCCUACGGGAGGCAGCAGUGGGGGAUAUUGCGCAAUGGGGGCAACCCUGACGCAGCAACGCCGCGUGAAGGAUGAAGGUUUUCGGAUUGUAAACUUCUUUUAUCAGGGACGAACUCUGACGGUACCUGAUGAAUAAGCUCCGGCUAACUACGUGCCAGCCGCCGC
rnacentral:rRNA from 1 species